UGUUGGUGGGGUAAUGGCCUACCAAGGCAACGAUCUUUAGCUGGUCUGAGAGGACGAUCAGCCACAUUGGGACUGAGACACGGCCCAGACAUCUACGGAUGGCAGCAGUUAAGAAUAUUGGACAAUGGGGGCAACCCUGAUCCAGGUAUACCGCGUGUGUGAAGAAGGCCCUAGGGUUGUAAAGCACUUUAAUCAGAGAAGAAGCAUUUUAAGCUAAUACCUUAUUAUGUUGUCGUUACCUGAAGAAUAAGGACCGGCUAACUCCGUGCCAGCAGCCGCGGUAAUACGGAGGGUCCAAGCGUUAAUCGGAAUUACUGGGCGUAAAGCGCGCGUAGGCGGUUUAGCAAGUUGUAUGUGAAAGCCCUGGGCUCAACCUAGGAACUGCAUUCAAAACUACUAAGCUAGAGUACGAGAGAGGAGAGUAGAAUUUCUGGUGUAGCGGUGAAAUGCGUAGAUAUCAGAAGGAAUACCAAUGGCGAAGGCAGCUCUCUGGCUCGUCACUGACGCUGAGGUGCGAAAGCGUGGGUAGCAAACAGGAUUAGAUACCCUGGUAGUCCACGCCGUAAACGAUGAGAACUAGCCGUUGGGCAGAUUUAACUGUUCAGUGGCACAGCUAACGCAUUAAGUUCUCCGCCUGGGGAGUACGGCCGCAAGGCUAAAACUCAAAUGAAUUGACGGGGGCCCGCACAAGUGGUGGAGCAUGUGGUUUAAUUCGAUGCAACGCGAAGAACCUUACCAACCCUUGAAAUCUAGCGAAGUUCACAGAGAUGAGAAUGUGCCUUCGGGAACGCUAUGACAGGUGUUGCAUGGCUGUCGUCAGCUCGUGUCGUGAGAUGUAUGGUUAAGUCCAGUAACGAGCGCAACCCCUAUCCUUAUUUGCCAGCGCGUUAAGGCGGGAACUAUAGGGAGACUGCCGGGUGAAACCCGGAGGAAGGCGGGGACGAGGUCAA
rnacentral:rRNA from 1 species